rnacentral:rRNA from 1 species
UACGUAGGGUGCGAGCGUUGUCCGGAAUUAUUGGGCGUAAAGGGCUCGUAGGCGGUCUGUUGCGUCAGGAGUGAAAACCGGAGGCUCAACCUCCGGCCUGCAGUGGGUACGGGCAAACUAGAGUGCGGUAGGGGAGAUUGGAAUUCCUGGUGUAGCGGUGGAAUGCGCAGAUAUCAGGAGGAACACCGAUGGCGAAGGCAGAUCUCUGGGCCAUAACUGACGCUGAGGAGCGAAAGCGUGGGGAGCGAACAGG